UCUCAACUAUAAAUAUUUUAGUAACAUUUUAUAGCAACCCAAUAUUCACAUUUAUAUUAUGUUAAACUAAUGUCACCCCGUUUGCCAACCUAUAAUGGCAUUAGUGAUCAAAUAUACAUAUUUGAUUUUUAACAUGAAUCUUAGUGCUCUACAUUACUUAUACAUAUACACAAGCAUAAGACUCUUAACCGUAAGCGGAGUGACCUUGGGAGAAGGUACAGCUACUGAAAUGCCAUAGUACUUACCAAGAAGAUGAGCAUACGUAGACAACUCAAUCUAGGUCCCAACUGCCUCUAAAUCUGAAAACAUGAAGUUUAAAAGAGUGAGUAUGAAACUUAGUGAGUGAACAUAAGAAGGGAACAAGCAACCGAUACGGAAACAUUUCGAAAACAUGAUGCACUUUUAUUAAAAACAAUGCAAUUUAGUUUAAUUUCUUGUAAAACCCCAUAAUUCAACCUUUGAUUAUUAAAUCCCUUAGUGUUGAAAGAUCCAUGAUAAACCAUGAAGUUGAAAAGAAUGAAAGUUUCAGCAAAUGUCCAAGCAAGACAAGCAAAACAAAGGGUUUCUCGCUGCAGCGAAAAAGCAUUCUAUGUUUGCAUAUAUUUUUGUUUUUCAAGAAUAUCUUACACUACAGAAGUCCAAUUGACAUGAGUUUUAAGUCAUUAGAAAGCUAAGAGGGUGGGCUACAGCUUUGAUGUUUACCACUUUGCCCAGUUCUGAUCGGAAGGUGGUGAAAAUCAUUGUCAAAGUGAAUGCACUGCACCACAAUUUUGAAACCACCCAAGAGUUUCUCACUGCAACGAGAAUCUAUUUUCACUGCAGCGAAAUUUCUCGCUACAGCGAGAAUCCAUUCUUGCUGCAACAAAAUUCAGAGCAUGGAUUAAGGCUGCCUACCCGAGAGUUUCUCGCUGCAGCGAAAAUGAAUCUCGCUGCAAUGAGAAACAGAACAAUUUAGUUGAAGGGGUCUUGUUACAUCAAAAAGCCAUUUUCUUGCUUAAAUGAAAAGCAAUUUGAGAGCAAUUAACAAUGCCAACAUACAACACAUUCACAAAUAUUUUCAUAAACUUUCUAUAACAUAUAUAUAUAUAUAUAUAUAUAUAUAUAUAUAUACAUACAUACAUACAUCAUCAUGCAUACCAUCCCGCCACACUCAGCUUAUGUGCACUCUGUACUCGCACAUAGCCAGGUUAUCAUCAGCUCAUGUGCACUCUCACACCGUACAUAGUUGGGUCAUCAUCAUCUCAUGUGCACUCCCACACCGCACAUAGCUCGGUCAUUAUUAUCACACAAAAAGAGUAUCCAAAACAUAAUAUACAUAUCAAUAUAAUGUGAUAAAACAUGAACUAUUCAUAUUGCACAUUUCACAAGAUAGAAACAUUUCAUCAAGGGUUUGUUCUCCAAGUAUAUUUUUUUAAAGCAAAAACAAAUGAAACUUUCCAAUGAUUUAUUUAAACAUGUAGGCACUUCCCAAAACAUUUUGAAUGGCAAGUUCACUCACCUUACGAUAGCGGGAUAUUACAUCGCUAUUUGUUGGGAGGCAUAUCUAGCUAUUCCUACUUGUCAGUUGCUCGUUAUUUU
rnacentral:lncRNA from 1 species